GUGUCAGCAGCCGCGGUAAUACGUAGGGGGCAAGCGUUGUCCGGAUUCAUUGGGCGUAAAGAGCGUGUAGGCGGUUAGGUAGGUCAGUUGUGAAAACUGGAGGCUCAACCUUCAGACGUCGACUGAAACCCCCUGGCUAGAGUCCGGGAGAGGAGAGUGGAAUUCCUGGUGUAGCGGUGGAAUGCGCAGAUAUCAGGAAGAACACCCGUGGCGAAAGCGGCUCUCUGGAACGGUACUGACGCUGAGACGCGAAAGCGUGGGGAGCGAACAGGAUUAGAAACCCCCGUAGUCC
rnacentral:rRNA from 1 species